UACGUAGGGUGCGAGCGUUGUCCGGAAUUAUUGGGCGUAAAGAGCGUGUAGGCGGCCAUACAGGUCAGCUGUGAAAACUCGAGGCUCAACCUCGAGACGUCGGUUGAAACCGUAUGGCUAGAGUCCGGAAGAGGAGAGUGGAAUUCCCGGUGUAGCGGUGAAAUGCGCAGAUAUCGGGAAGAACACCCGUGGCGAAGGCGGCUCUCUGGGACGGUACUGACGCUGAGACGCGAAAGCGUGGGGAGCGAACAGG
rnacentral:rRNA from 1 species